rnacentral:tRNA from 1 species
GGGAGUGUAGCUCAGUUGGUUAGAGCGCAUGAUUGUUAAUCAUGAUGUUCAAGUCCUUCUAUUCCCGCCA